rnacentral:misc_RNA from 1 species
UCCGGCUUAUCACCGGCAGUCCCCUUAGAGUGCCCAACUGAAUGAUGGCAACUAAGGGCGAGGGUUGCGCUCGUUGCGGGACUUAACCCAACAUCUCACGACACGAGCUGACGACAGCCAUGCAGCACCUGUGUCCAGGUUCCCUUUCGGGCACCGCUGCAUUUCUGCAGCGUUCCUGGAAUGUCAAGGGUAGGUAAGGUUUUUCGCGUUGCAUCGAAUUAAUCCACAUGCUCCGCCGCUUGUGGUUCAAUUCGAAGCAACGCGCAGAACCUUACCAACCUUUGACAUCCCGAUUGCGGGCACCAGAGAUGGAGCCUUUCAGUUCGGCUGGAU